UUAAUGCAGAUACACACAGCACAGCUAGUUUCAAAAUUAAACCACAAUGAAAACUGUCACUACUGACGAGGAACUACGCAAAGACCUUCGGUCUCAGGCCCUUGCUCACUCAGGAGUACCUUGAGACCUGUUUCUUCCUGUUCAGCUGCAGUCACGGUUCUAACCUGGUUCUUCUCACGGCUGGUAUCCUCUGACCUUUUAUGUCCUGGCAAUGACUUCCAUGCAUUUUGGCAGUGACUGCCUGAAUCUCUGAUUCAACCCUGAUCGCAGCCUCUCGGGCUUUCUCGCUCCUUUCAUUCUUUCCGCGGAUGGCCACGGCUUUUGCCGCCUUUACCCUUCCUGGAGCAACCCGUGCUUUUGAAAAAUGACCAUGCCGAAGGGGAACUAACACUCCCAGUCUGGAGCGGGUCUUGUCAAUCUGAUUUUUAAAUGAUGGAGGAGGAGGUUUGAGGACAAAGCUCAUGGUGGCAUUACCACUAUCAGGGACGCUGCAAAGAUGAAGUGAAAAGGGGAAAAGGCUCUUCUCAAUGUGAGCACAUUCACAGGCUCUGAGGACAGAGAGGUAUUUAAAGUGAACUGGAACAAACCUGCAACAUCCGGUGCGUUCUGCCUUCAAAAAUAGCUGCCAGUUAGAAAGGGUUAUUUACAUAUUGAUUUCAUGCUAACUUUGUAAUGGAAUGUGCUGCCUGCCUGCCUGCCUGAGACCUAACAACUGUCAUCAUAAUUUUUUCUAAAAAUACAGUCAGAGAAAAACACUCAUUGAACCCUCCACUGGAAAGUAGCUGCAAAAGACCCCCUGAUCCCAAACCUGCUUGACAGACCACAGCCAAGGGCAGGGACACUCAACAACUGUAAACGAGGAACAUUUCACAGCAGCAGCUGGCCCCUCCCUUCUUCCAACCAGCCAAUAUUUUUUGUCUUUCUAGAAAACCUGUCUUGUUCAAAGUAAGUUUCCUGAGGCUUCCCCAGCCAUGCUUCUUGUACAGCCUGUGGAACUGCUGGAACUUACCAUUGGCUGUCCUGGUCCUCAGGCCUUCGGAGUCAGACUGGAACUACACCAUCGGCUUUCCAGGGUCCCCAGCUUGCCAACUGCAGACCUUGGAAUCAGCCUCAUAAUUGCAAAAACCAAUUUCUUAUCCAAAUAUUAGUAUAUAUAUGUAAUUUCUUACAAGAAAUUUAAGUAAACUUCAUAUGUAUAAUA
rnacentral:lncRNA from 1 species